rnacentral:rRNA from 1 species
GGAUGCGAUCAUACCAGCACUAAUGCACCGGAUCCCAUCAGAACUCCGAAGUUAAGCGUGCUUGGGCGAGAGUAGUACUAGGAUGGGUCCGAAGUAAGCGUGCUUGGGCGAGAGUAGUACUAGAUGGGUGACCCCCUGGGAAGUCCUCGUGGUUGCAUCCC